AACAGGCAAAUCCGUUCAUCAAUCCGAAGACGUGAUGCGGACCGAAUUAAGAGUAGGGAAGUGUGUGAGCCAUGCGUCAAGAAAAGCCGCUAUUGUUUUACUUAAGCCCGUACCGUAAACCGACACAGGUGGAUGAGGAGAGAAUCCUAAGGCCGACGGGAGAAGCAUUGUUAAGGAACUCGGCAAAAUGACUCCGUAACUUCGGGAGAAGGAGUGCCAGCGAGAGCUGGCCGCAGAGAAUUGGCCCAAGCAACUGUUUAGCAAAAACACAGGUCUAUGCAAAACCGUAAGGUGAAGUAUAUGGGCUGACGCCUGCCCGGUGCUGGAAGGUUAAGAGGAGAGGUUAGCGGCAACGCGAAGCUUUGAAUUUAAGCCCCAGUAAACGGCGGCCGUAACGAUAACGGUCCUAAGGUAGCGAAAUUCCUUGUCGGGUAAGUUCCGACCCGCACGAAAGGCGUAAUGAUUUGGGCACUGUCUCAACAAUGCACCCGGUGAAAUUGAAAUACCAGUGAAGAUGCUGGUUACCUGCGCCAGGACGGAAAGACCCCAUGGAGCUUUACUCCAGCUUGAUACUGGGAUUCGGUAUUGCAUGUACAGGAUAGGUGGGAGGCUAGGAAGUGAUAACGCCAGUUGUCACGGAGCCGCUGUUGGGAUACCACCCUUGCAGUAUUGGAUUUCUAACCAGCGACCAUGAACUGGUCGGGGGACAAUGUCAGGUGGGGAGUUUGACUGGGGCGGUCGCCUCCGAAAGGGUAUCGGAGGCGCUCAAAGGUUCCCUCAGAAUGGACGGAAACCAUUCGAAGAGUGCAAAGGCAGAAGGGAGCUUGACUGCGACACCGACGGGUGGAGCAGGUACGAAAGUAGGACUUAGUGAUCCGGUGGUAUAAAGUGGGAUUGCCAUCGCUCAACGGAUAAAAGCUACCCUGGGAUAACAGGCUUAUCACUCCCAAGAGUUCACAUCGACGGAGUGGUUUGGCACCUCGAUGUCGGCUCAUCGCAUCCUGGGGCUGAAGUAGGUCCCAAGGGUUGGGCUGUUCGCCCAUUAAAGCGGUACGCGAGCUGGGUUCAGAACGUCGUGAGACAGUUCGGUCCCUAUCCGGCGUGGGCGUAGGAUAUUUGAGAGGAGCUGUCCUUAGUACGAGAGGACCGGGAUGGACUGGCCGCUGGUGUAUCUGUUGCAUACCAAAUGCAUGGCAGAGUAGCCAAGCCGGGACGGGAUAAACGCUGAAGGCAUCUAAGCGUGAAGCCCCCCUCAAGAUGAGAUAUCCCUACGUAAGUAGUAAGACCCCUUGAAGACGACGAGGUAGAUAGGUCAGAGGUGGAAGUACAGUAAUGUAUGGAGCUGACUGAUACUAAUCGGUCGAGGGCAUGACCAA
rnacentral:rRNA from 1 species